rnacentral:rRNA from 1 species
UUAAGCGACUAAGCGUACACGGUGGAUGCCCUGGCAGUCAGAGGCGAUGAAGGACGUGCUAAUCUGCGAAAAGCGCCGGCGAGGUGAUAUGAACCUUUGACCCGGCGAUGUCCGAAUGGGGAAACCCAGUGCAAUCCGUUGCACUAUCGUUAACUGAAUACAUAGGUUAACGAGGCGAACCGGGGGAACUGAAACAUCUAAGUACCCCGAGGAAAAGAAAUCAACCGAGAUUCCCCCAGUAGCGGCGAGCGAACGGGGAGCAGCCCGGAGUCUGAAUCAGCUUGUGUGUUAGUGGAACGGUCUGGAAAGUCCGACGGUACAGGGUGAUAGUCCCGUACACGAAAAUGCACAUGCUGUGAACUCGAAGAGUAGGGCGGGACACGUGGUAUCCUGUCUGAAUAUGGGGGGACCAUCCUCCAAGGCUAAAUACUCCUGACUGACCGAUAGUGAACCAGUACCGUGAGGGAAAGGCGAAAAGAACCCCGGCGAGGGGAGUGAAAAAGAACCUGAAACCGUGUACGUACAAGCAGUGGGAGCCUCUUUAUGGGGUGACUGCGUACCUUUUGUAUAAUGGGUCAGCGACUUAUAUUCUGUAGCAAGGUUAACCGUAUAGGGGAGCCGAAGGGAAACCGAGUCUUAACUGGGCGUUAAGUUGCAGGGUAUAGACCCGAAACCCGGUGAUCUAGCCAUGGGCAGGUUGAAGGUUGGGUAACACUAACUGGAGGACCGAACCGACUAAUGUUGAAAAAUUAGCGGAUGACCUGUGGCUGGGGGUGAAAGGCCAAUCAAACCGGGAGAUAGCUGGUUCUCCCCGAAAGCUAUUUAGGUAGCGCCUCGUGAACUCAUCUUCGGGGGUAGAGCACUGUUUCGGCUAGGGGGCCAUCCCGGCUUACCAACCCGAUGCAAACUACGAAUACCGAAGAAUGUUAUCACGGGAGACACACGGCGGGUGCUAACGUCCGUCGUGAAGAGGGAAACAACCCAGACCGCCAGCUAAGGUCCCAAAGUCAUGGUUAAGUGGGAAACGAUGUGGGAAGGCACAGACAGCCAGGAUGUUGGCUUAGAAGCAGCCAUCAUUUAAAGAAAGCGUAAUAGCUCACUGGUCGAGUCGGCCUGCGCGGAAGAUGUAACGGGGCUAAACCAUGCACCGAAGCUGCGGCAGCGACACUAUGUGUUGUUGGGUAGGGGAGCGUUCUGUAAGCCGUUGAAGGUGUGCUGUGAGGCAUGCUGGAGGUAUCAGAAGUGCGAAUGCUGACAUAAGUAACGAUAAAGCGGGUGAAAAGCCCGCUCGCCGGAAGACCAAGGGUUCCUGUCCAACGUUAAUCGGGGCAGGGUGAGUCGACCCCUAAGGCGAGGCCGAAAGGCGUAGUCGAUGGGAAACAGGUUAAUAUUCCUGUACUUGGUGUUACUGCGAAGGGGGGACGGAGAAGGCUAUGUCAGCCGGGCGACGGUUGUCCCGGUUUAAGCAUGUAGGCGGAGGUUCCAGGUAAAUCCGGUACCUUAUUAACGCUGAGGUGUGAUGACGAGGCACUACGGUGCUGAAGUGAUAAAUGCCCUGCUUCCAGGAAAAGCCUCUAAGCAUCAGGUAACACGAAAUCGUACCCCAAACCGACACAGGUGGUCAGGUAGAGAAUACCAAGGCGCUUGAGAGAACUCGGGUGAAGGAACUAGGCAAAAUGGUGCCGUAACUUCGGGAGAAGGCACGCUGAUGUGUAGGUGAAGCCCCUGCGGGUGGAGCUGAAAUCAGUCGAAGAUACCAGCUGGCUGCAACUGUUUAUUAAAAACACAGCACUGUGCAAACACGAAAGUGGACGUAUACGGUGUGACGCCUGCCCGGUGCCGGAAGGUUAAUUGAUGGGGUUAGCGGCAACGCGAAGCUCUUGAUCGAAGCCCCGGUAAACGGCGGCCGUAACUAUAACGGUCCUAAGGUAGCGAAAUUCCUUGUCGGGU